GAAGAAAGCUUGCUUUCUUUGCUGACGAGCGGCGGACGGGUGAGUAAUGCCUAGAGGAACUGCCCAGUCGAGGGGGAUAACAGUUGGAAACGACUGCUAAUACCGCAUACGCCCUACGGGGGUAAAAGAGGGGACCUUCGGGCCUUCUGCGAUUGGAUGUACCUAGGUGGGAUUAGCUAGUAGGUGAGGUAAUGGCUCACCUAGGCGACGAUCCCUAGCUGUUCUGAGAGGAUGAUCAGCCACACUGGGACUGAGACACGGCCCAGACUCCUACGGGAGGCAGCAGUGGGGAAUAUUGCACAAUGGGCGCAAGCCUGAUGCAGCCAUGCCGCGUGUGUGAAGAAGGCCUUCGGGUUGUAAAGCACUUUCAGCGAGGAGGAAAGGUUAAGUGUUAAUAGCGCUUAGCUGUGACGUUACUCGCAGAAGAAGCACCGGCUAACUUCGUGCCAGCAGCCGCGGUAAUACGAGGGGUGCAAGCGUUAAUCGGAAUUACUGGGCGUAAAGCGUACGC
rnacentral:rRNA from 1 species